CCACAUUACUUCAGGACAUUCACAACUGUUCAUUGGACAUGCUGAUUUUCCAUAUUACAUUACUCACUAUCUCUGUAGGGAUUCAAAGAAGAACUGUUUUUGCAUGUUGAAUCACUUAUUGUGAAAAAGGAAUUCAGAGUUUUCCAAAGAAGCACAUAAAGGAUUUCAAAUGCAUUCCUAUGGAACUCACAUCGUCAUAUCAUAACCUUGAAAUACAGUUAAGAAUUUCCAUCCAAAUGUAGAUCACUGAAGCAAUGCGGAUCCCAUCAGCUUAUGCAAUAUGUACGUGAACGAAGAGAUAAAAGAGUAAUGAGG
rnacentral:lncRNA from 1 species